GAUGAACGCUGACAGAAUGCUUAACACAUGCAAGUCUUUGGCGAAGCUGUGCUUGCACAGCCUAGCCAAGGCGGACGGGUGAGUAACGCGUAAGGGACUUGCCCUGCAGUCAGGGAUAACAGACGGAAACGACUGAUAAAACCUGGUAAAGUCAGGCGGACUCAUGUCCAGCCUGAUGAAAAGGAAUGCUGCAGGAGAGCCUUGCGUCCUAUUAGCUUGUUGGUGGGGUAACGGCCCACCAAGGCGAUGAUAGGUAGCCGGCCUGAGAGGGUGGACGGCCACAAGGGGACUGAGAUACGGCCCUUACUCCUACGGGAGGCAGCAGUGGGGAAUAUUGGACAAUGGGGGCAACCCUGAUCCAGCAAUUCUGUGUGCACGAUGAAGGUCCUCGGAUUGUAAAGUGCUUUCAGCAGGGAAGAAAAAAAUGACGGUACCUGCAGAAGAAGCGACGGCUAAAUACGUGCCAGCAGCCGCGGUAAUACGUAUGUCGCGAGCGUUAUCCGGAAUUAUUGGGCAUAAAGGGCAUCUAGGCGGCCGGAUAAGUCUGGGGUGAAAACUUGCGGCUCAACCGCAAGCCUGCCCUGGAAACUAUGCGGCUAGAGUACUGGAGAGGUGGACGGAACUGCACGAGUAGAGGUGAAAUUCGUAGAUAUGUGCAGGAAUGCCGAUGAUGAAGAUAGUUCACUGGACGGUAACUGACGCUGAAGUGCGAAAGCUAGGGGAGCAAACAGG
rnacentral:rRNA from 1 species